ACAUAAUUAGUAUAAAAAUUAUAAUACUUUUCCAAAGUAUAGAUCUAAUAAUUAGAUUAUGUA
rnacentral:tRNA from 1 species